AGGUUGGUGCGAAAGUAAUUGUGGUUUUUGCCAUUGAAAAUAAUAGCAGAAACCACAAUUACUUUCACACCAACCUAAUA
rnacentral:miRNA from 1 species